AGAGUUUGAUCCUGGCUCAGGAUAAACGCUGGCGGCGCACAUAAGACAUGCAAGUCGAACGAACUUAAUUGAGAGCUUGCUCUCAAAGCGGUUAGUGGCGGACUGGUGAGUAACACGUAAGCAACCUGCCUAUUAGAGGGGAAUAACAGCGAGAAAUCGUUGCUAAUACCGCAUAUGCUGCGAGUAUCGCAUGAUACAAGCAGGAAAGGAGCAAUCCGCUAAUAGAUGGGCUUGCGUCUGAUUAGUUAGUUGGUGGGGUAACGGCCUACCAAGACGAUGAUCAGUAGCCGGACUGAGAGGUUGAACGGCCACAUUGGGACUGAGAUACGGCCCAGACUCCUACGGGAGGCAGCAGUCGGGAAUAUUGCGCAAUGGAGGAAACUCUGACGCAGUGACGCCGCGUGCAGGAAGAAGGUUUUCGGAUUGUAAACUGCUUUUAACAGGAAAGAAAAAAUGACGGUACCUGUUGAAUAAGCUCCGGCUAACUACGUGCCAGCAGCCGCGGUAAUACGUAGGGAGCGAGCGUUAUCCGGAUUUAUUGGGUGUAAAGGGUGCGUAGACGGAAAUGCAAGUUAGUUGUGAAAUACCUCGGCUUAACUGAGGAACUGCAACUAAAACUAUAUUUCUUGAGUAUCGGAGGGGUUUGUGGAAUUCCUAGUGUAGCGGUGAAAUGCGUAGAUAUUAGGAAGAACACCGGUGGCGAAGGCGACAAACUGGACGAUAACUGACGUUGAGGCACGAAAGUGUGGGGAGCAAACAGGAUUAGAUACCCUGGUAGUCCACACUGUAAACGAUGGAUACUAGGUGUUGGCAAUGAAUAAUUGUCGGUGCCGGCGCUAACGCAAUAAGUAUCCCACCUGGGGAGUACGACCGCAAGGUUGAAACUCAAAGGAAUUGACGGGGGCCC
rnacentral:rRNA from 1 species